GACGAACGCUGGCGGCGUGCUUAACACAUGCAAGUCGAGCGGUAAGGCCCUUUCGGGGGUACACGAGCGGCGAACGAGUGAGUAACACGUGGGUGACCUGCCCUCAGCUCUGGGAUAAGCCUGGGAAACCGGGUCUAAUACUGGAUAUGACUCCAUGACGCAUGUUGUGGGGUGGAAAGCCUUGUGCGGCUGAGGAUGGGGCCCGCGGCCUAUCAGCUUGNGGUGGGGUGAUGGCCUACCAAGGCGACGACGGGUAGCCGGCCUGAGAGGGCGACCGGCCACACUGGGACUGAGACACGGCCCAGACUCCUACGGGAGGCAGCAGGUGGGGAAUCUUGCGCAAUGGGCGAAAGCCUGACGCAGCGACGCCGCGUGA
rnacentral:rRNA from 1 species